AUUGAACGCUUGCGGCAGGCCUAACACAUGCAAGUCGAACGGUAACAGGAAACAGCUUGCUGUUUCGCUGACGAGUGGCGGACGGGUGAGUAAUGUCUGGGAAACUGCCUGAUGGAGGGGGAUAACUACUGGAAACGGUAGCUAAUACCGCAUAACGUCGCAAGACCAAAGAGGGGGACCCUCGGGCCUCUUGCCAUCGGAUGUGCCCAGAUGGGAUUAGCUUGUUGGUGGGGUAACGGCUCACCAAGGCGACGAUCCCUAGCUGGUCUGAGAGGAUGACCAGCCACACUGGAACUGAGACACGGUCCAGACUCCUACGGGAGGCAGCAGUGGGGAAUAUUGCACAAUGGGCGCAAGCCUGAUGCAGCCAUGCCGCGUGUAUGAAGAAGGCCUUCGGGUUGUAAAGUACUUUCAGCGGGGAGGAAGGGAGUAAAGUUAAUACCUUUGCUCAUUGACGUUACCCGCAGAAGAAGCACCGGCUAACUCCGUGCCAGCAGCCGCGGUAAUACGGAGGGUGCAAGCGUUAAUCGGAAUUACUGGGCGUAAAGCGCACGCAGGCGGUUUGUUAAGUCAGAUGUGAAAUCCCCGGGCUCAACCUGGUGACUGCAUCUGAUACUGGCAAGCUUGAGUCUCGUAGAGGGGGGUAGAAUUCCAGGUGUAGCGGUGAAAUGCGUAGAGAUCUGGAGGAAUACCGGUGGCGAAGGCGGCCCCCUGGACGAAGACUGACGCUCAGGUGCGAAAGCGUGGGGAGCAAACAGGAUUAGAUACCCUGGUAGUCCACGCCGUAAACGAUGUCGACUUGGAGGUUGUGCCCUUGAGGCGUGGCUUCCGGAGCUAACGCGUUAAGUCGACCGCCUGGGGAGUACGGCCGCAAGGUUAAAACUCAAAUGAAUUGACGGGGGCCCGCACAAGCGGUGGAGCAUGUGGUUUAAUUCGAUGCAACGCGAAGAACCUUACCUGGUCUUGACAUCCACGGAAGUUUUCAGAGAUGAGAAUGUGCCUUCGGGAACCGUGAGACAGGUGCUGCAUGGCUGUCGUCAGCUCGUGUUGUGAAAUGUUGGGUUAAGUCCCGCAACGAGCGCAACCCUUAUCCUUUGUUGCCAGCGGUCCGGCCGGGAACUCAAAGGAGACUGCCAGUGAUAAACUGGAGGAAGGUGGGGAUGACGUCAAGUCAUCAUGGCCCUUACGACCAGGGCUACACACGUGCUACAAUGGCGCAUACAAAGAGAAGCGACCUCGCGAGAGCAAGCGGACCUCAUAAAGUGCGUCGUAGUCCGGAUUGGAGUCUGCAACUCGACUCCAUGAAGUCGGAAUCGCUAGUAAUCGUGGAUCAGAAUCCCCGGUGAAUACGUUCCCGGGGCU
rnacentral:rRNA from 1 species